GUGACCUCAAAUCAGGUAGGACUACCCGCUGAACUUAAGCAUAUCAAUAAGCGGAGGAAAAGAAACUAACAAGGAUUCCCCUAGUAACUGCGAGUGAAGCGGGAAAAGCUCAAAUUUAAAAUCUGUCAGUCUUUGGCUGUCCGAGUUGUAAUCUAGAGAAGCGUUAUCCGCGCUGGACCGUGUACAAGUCUCCUGGAAUGGAGCGUCAUAGAGGGUGAGAAUCCCGUCUUUGACACGGACUGCCAGUGCUUUGUGAUGCGCUCUCAAAGAGUCGAGUUGUUUGGGAAUGCAGCUCAAAAUGGGUGGUAAAUUCCAUCUAAAGCUAAAUAUUGGCGAGAGACCGAUAGCGAACAAGUACCGUGAGGGAAAGAUGAAAAGAACUUUGGAAAGAGAGUUAAACAGUACGUGAAAUUGCUGAAAGGGAAACGCUUGAAGUCAGUCGCGUUGUCCAGGGAUCAACCUUGCUUCUGCUUGGUGUACUUUCUGGUUGACGGGUCAGCAUCAAUUUUGACCAUUGGAAAAAGAUUAAGGGAAUGUGGCAUCCUUGGAUGUGUUAUAGCCUUUGGUUGCAUACAAUGGUUGGGAUUGAGGAACUCAGCACGCCGCAAGGCCGGGUUUUUAACCACGUACGUGCUUAGGAUGCUGGCAUAAUGGCUUUAAUCGACCCGUCUUGAAACACGGACCAAGGAGUCUAACAUGCCUGCGAGUGUUUGGGUGGAAAACCCGAGCGCGUAAUGAAAGUGAAAGUUGAGAUCCUUGUCAUGGGGAGCAUCGACGCCCGGACCAGACCUUUUGUGACGGUUCCGCGGUAGAGCAUGUAUGUUGGGACCCGAAAGAUGGUGAACUAUGCCUGAAUAGGGUGAAGCCAGAGGAAACUCUGGUGGAGGCUCGUAGCGAUUCUGACGUGCAAAUCGAUCGUCAAAUUUGGGUAUAGGGGCGAAAGACUAAUCGAACCAUCUAGUAGCUGGUUCCUGCCGA
rnacentral:rRNA from 1 species